rnacentral:rRNA from 1 species
UUGGAGGGCAAGUCUGGUGCCAGCAGCCGCGGUAAUUCCAGCUCCAAUAGCGUAUAUUAAAGUUGUUGCAGUUAAAAAGCUCGUAGUUGAAUUUCGGGAUCAAUAUGUUGGUCGUGCCUUGGUACGUACUAGUUUAUUGGUUUCUUCCUUCUGACGAACCAUGAUGUCAUUAAUUUGGUGUCUUGGGGAAUCAGGACUGUUACUUUGAAAAAAUUAGAGUGUUUAAAGCAGGCUCACGCUUGAAUACAUUAGCAUGGAAUGAUAAAAUAGGACGUUUGAUUCUAUUUUGUUGGUUUCUAGGAUCGACGUAAUGAUUAAUAGGGAUAGUUGGGGGCAUUAGUAUUCAAUUGUCAGAGGUGAAAUUCUUGGAUUUAUUGAAGACUAACUACUGCGAAAGCAUUUGCCAAGGAUGUUUUCAUUAAUCAAGAACGAAAGUUAGGGGAUCGAAGACGAUCAGAUACCGUCGUAGUCUUAACCAUAAACUAUGCCGACUAGGGAUCGGAUGAUGUUAAUUUUUUAAUGACUCAUUCGGCGCCUUACGGGAAAC